AAUAUCUGAUCGAAGGUAUGCCGGUCAAACAGACCAAUAUUGUUUCCAAUCGGUCGAACCCAUAUCACCGACUCACUGUCGGGGGUGACAGCCGAUGUUCGACUUCCACAAGACACCAGAUUAGCCGAUGAUAUUUUCAAGUCAUCACCCGACGUCCCGGCAGCCGAAUACCGACAUAUAAUCGGCCAGCUCGUCCAAAUGCCGUACAACCGCUAUGGGCUGUUAUCCUGUCAAGGACAUACUGUG
rnacentral:lncRNA from 1 species